rnacentral:rRNA from 1 species
AGAGUUUGAUCCUGGCUCAGGAUGAACGCUGGCGGCGUGCGUAACACAUGCAAGUUGAACGACGGUGCCAUGAAGUGGUAACACGGAGUGGUAUACGGAGUAGCGGACGGGUGAGUAAAGCAUGAGAAUCUGUCCUGUCGAGGGGGAUAACGUUCGGAAACGGACCCUAAUACCCCAUAGUCCGAGAGGUUAAAGGCAGCGAUGCGCGGCAGGAGGAGCUCGUGUCCUAUCAGCUAGUUGGUGAGGUAACGGCUCACCAAGGCUUCGACGGGUAGCCGGCCUGAGAGGGUGACCGGCCACACUGGAACUGAGAAACGGUCCAGACUCCUACGGGAGGCAGCAGUGGGGAAUAUUGGGCAAUGGGAGGAAUCCUGACCCAGCGACGCCGCGUGAACGAAGACGGCCUUCGGGUUGUAAAGUUCUUUUAUGUGGGAAGAAGGAAGUGACGGUACCACAUGAAUAAGCCCCGGCUAACUACGUGCCAGCAGCCGCGGUAAUACGUAGGGGGCGAGCGUUGUCCGGAAUUACUGGGCGUAAAGGGCACGCAGGCUGUGCUUCAAGUCAGCUGUAAAAGGAUGCGGCUUAACCGUGUUAUGCGGCUGAGACUGAGGUGCUGGAGUACCGGAGAGGCAAGUGGAAUUCCCAGUGUAGCGGUGAAAUGCGUAGAUAUUGGGAAGAACAUCGGUGGCGAAGGCGACUUGCUGGACGGUAACUGACGCUGAGGUGCGAAAGCCAGGGUAGCGAACGGGAUUAGAUACCCCGGUAGUCCUGGCCGUAAACGAUGAAUGCUAGGUGUGCGAGCAGAGAUGUUGGUGUGCCGCAGUUAACGCGAUAAGCAUUCCGCCUGGGGAGUACGGUCGCAAGAUUGAAACUCAAAGGAAUUGACGGGGGCCCGCACAAGCGGUGGAGCACGUGGUUUAAUUCGAUGCAAACCGAAGAACCUUACCUGGGUUUGACAUGUAUGUGGUAGGAGAUGGAAACAUUGACGACGCUGCUUUCGGGCAGUGAGCAUACACAGGUGCUGCAUGGCUGUCGUCAGCUCGUGUCGUGAGAUGUUGGGUUAAGUCCC